GUUACCUACGGGAGGCAGCAGUGGGGGAUAUUGCACAAUGGGGGGAACCCUGAUGCAGCGACGCCGCGUGGGUGAAGGAGCGUUUCGGCGCGUAAAGCCCUAUCGGCAGGGAAGAAGAUGACGGUACCUGACCAAGAAGCCCCGGCUAACUACGUGCCAGCAGCCGCGGGAAUACGUAGGGGGCAAGCGUUAUCCGGAUUUACUGGGUGUAAAGGGAGCGCAGGCGGCACGGCAAGCCUGGUGUGAAAACCCGGGGCCCAACCCCCGG
rnacentral:rRNA from 1 species